rnacentral:rRNA from 1 species
AGAGUUUGAUCAUGGCUCAGAACGUACGCUGGCGGCACGCCUAACACAUGCAAGUCGAACGAAGUAGCAAUACUUAGUGGCAGACGGGUGAGUAACAUGUGGGUAUCUGCCCUUUGGCCUGGAAUAACACGAGGAAACUUGUGCUAAUACCGGAUAAGUCUUUACGGAGAAAGCUUUAUGCACCAUUGGAUGAGCCCGCACUUGAUUAGUUUGUUGGUAGGGUAAUGGCCUACCAAGACUGUGAUCAAUAGCUGAUUUGAGAGGAUGAUCAGCCACAUUGGGACUGAGACACGGCCCAAACUCCUACGGGAGGCAGCAGUGGGGAAUCUUGCACAAUGGAGGAAACUCUGAUGCAGCGAUGCCGCGUGAGUGAAGAAGGCCCUUGGGUUGUAAAGCUCUUUCGUCGGGGAAGAAAAUGACUGUACCCGAAUAAGAAGGUCCGGCUAACUUCGUGCCAGCAGCCGCGGUAAUACGAAGGGACCUAGCGUAGUUCGGAAUUACUGGGCUUAAAGAGUUCGUAGGUGGUUGAAAAAGUUGGUGGUGAAAUCCCAGAGCUUAACUCUGGAACUGCCAUCAAAACUUUUCAGCUAGAGUAUGAUAGAGGAAAGCAGAAUUUCUAGUGUAGAGGUGAAAUUCGUAGAUAUUAGAAAGAAUACCAAUUGCGAAGGCAGCUUUCUGGAUCAUUACUGACACUGAGGAACGAAAGCAUGGGUAGCGAAGAGGAUUAGAUACCCUCGUAGUCCAUGCCGUAAACGAUGUGUGUUAGACGUUGGAAAUUUAUUUUCAGUGUCGCAGCGAAAGCGAUAAACACACCGCCUGGGGAGUACGACCGCAAGGUUAAAACUCAAAUGAAUUGACGGGGACCCGCACAAGUAGUGGAGCAUGUGGUUUAAUUCGAAGAUACGCGCAGAACCUUACCAACACUUGACAUGUUCGUCGCGACUCUAAGAGAUUAGAGUUUUCGGUUCGGCCGGACGAAACACAGGUGCUGCAUGGCUGUCGUCAGCUCGUGUCGUGAGAUGUUGGGUUAAGUCCCGCAACGAGCGCAACCCUCACUUUUAGUUGCCAUCAUUAAGUUGGGCACUCUGAAAGAACUGCCAGUGAUAAGCUGGAGGAAGGUGGGGAUGACGUCAAGUCCUCAUGGCCCUUACGUGUUGGGCUACACACGUGCUACAAUGGUAUCUACAACAGGAAGCAAGACUGCGAGGUCAAGCAAAUCCUUAAAAGAUACCUCAGUUCGGAUUGCACUCUGCAACUCGAGUGCAUGAAGCUGGAAUUACUAGUAAUCGUGGAUCAGCGUGCCACGGUGAAUGCGUUCCCGGGUCUUGUACACACCGCCCGUCACACCAUGGGAGUUGGUUCUACCUUAAGGCAAGGUUUCAAACCCUUGACCACGGUAUAGUCAGCGACUGGGGUGAAGUCAUAACAAGGUAGCCGUA